rnacentral:rRNA from 1 species
AGCGAACGUUUGCGGCGGGCCUAACACAUGCAAGUCGAACGCACUAGCAAUAGUGAGUGGCGCACGGGUGCGUAACACGUGGGUAAUCAACCCUUCAGCCUGGGAUAACGACUCGAAAGGGUCGCUAAUACCGGAUACGGCGCGAGAGGCUUCGGCUUCUCACGAGAAAGCCACGCAAGGGGGCACUGAAGGACGAGCCUGCGGCCCAUCAGCUAGUUGGUGAGGUAAGAGCUCACCAAGGCUAAGACGGGUAGCUGGUCUGAGAGGAUGAUCAGCCACACUGGAACUGAGACACGGUCCAGACUCCUACGGGAGGCAGCAGUGGGGAAUAUUGCGCAAUGGGCGAAAGCCUGACGCAGCCACGCCGCGUGAGCGAUGAAGGCC